CAGCAGCCACGGGAAUACGUAGGGUGCGAGCGUUGUCCGGAAUUAUUGGGCGUAAAGAGCUCGUAGGCGGUCUGUCGCGUCUGGUGUGAAAUCCCGAGGCUCAACCUCGGGCUUGCAUCGGGUACGGGCAGACUAGAGUGCGGUAGGGGAGACUGGAAUUCCUGGUGUAGCGGUGGAAUGCGCAGAUAUCAGGAGGAACACCGAUGGCGAAGGCAGGUCUCUGGGCCGCAACUGACGCUGAGGAGCGAAAGCAUGGGGAGCGAACAGGAUUAGAUACCCCGGUAGUCCCUGUCUCUUAUAA
rnacentral:rRNA from 1 species